rnacentral:rRNA from 1 species
CCUACGGGAGGCAGCAGUAAGGAAUAUUGGUCAAUGGGCGGAAGCCUGAACCAGCCAUGCCGCGUGCAGGAAGACGGCCCUACGGGUUGUAAACUGCUUUUGCAGGGGAAUAAACCCCGGUACGUGUACCGGGCUGAAUGUACUCUGAGAAUAAGGAUCGGCUAACUCCGUGCCAGCAGCCGCGGUAAUACGGAGGAUCCAAGCGUUAUCCGGAUUUAUUGGGUUUAAAGGGUGCGUAGGCGGCCUAUUAAGUCAGGGGUGAAAGACGGUAGCUUAACUAUCGCAGUGCCUUUGAUACUGAUGGGCUUGAAUGGACUAGAGGUAGGCGGAAUGUGACAAGUAGCGGUGAAAUGCAUAGAUAUGUCACAGAACACCAAUUGCGAAGGCAGCUUACUAUGGUUUAAUUGACGCUGAGGCACGAAAGCGUGGGGAUCAAACAGGAUUAGAUACCCUGGUAGUCCACGCCCUAAACGAUGAACACACAUGUAGUAGAUAUAUAGUAGUCGUCUAGACGAAGACGUAGUAGUUCGUCCGUCGGAGGUACGCCGCCGACGGAGGUAACGUACGAAGAAGUUAGUAGCGUUGAGAGNGCGACGGACGACGACGAGGGAGGAGG